ensembl:misc_RNA Metazoa_SRP Metazoan signal recognition particle RNA
GCUGGGCAUGGUGGCUCAUGCCUAUAAUCCAGGCACUUUGGAGGCCAAGGUGGGUGGAUCACCUGAGGUCAGGAGUUCAAGACCAGCCUGACCAACAUGGUGAAACCCCAUCUUAA